rnacentral:piRNA from 11 species
UACUAAAAUUGGAACGAUACAGAGAA